rnacentral:rRNA from 1 species
UGCUCAGGAUGAACGCUGGCGGUAUGCUUAACACAUGCAAGUCGAACGGGAUGCUUAGGCAUCUAGUGGCGGACGGGUGAGUAACGCGUGAGAAUCUGGCUCCAGGUCGGGGAUAACAGUUGGAAACGACUGCUAAUACCGGAUGUGCCGAGAGGUGAAAGAUUUAUUGCCUGGAGAUGAGCUCGCGUCUGAUUAGCUAGUUGGUGGUGUAAGGGACCACCAAGGCGUCGAUCAGUAGCUGGUCUGAGAGGAUGAUCAGCCACACUGGGACUGAGACACGGCCCAGACUCCUACGGGAGGCAGCAGUGGGGAAUUUUCCGCAAUGGGCGAAAGCCUGACGGAGCAAUACCGCGUGAGGGAGGAAGGCUCUUGGGUCGUAAACCUCUUUUCUCAAGGAAGAAGAAAGUGACGGUACUUGAGGAAUAAGCAUCGGCUAACUCCGUGCCAGCAGCCGCGGUAAUACGGAGGAUGCAAGCGUUAUCCGGAAUGAUUGGGCGUAAAGGGUCUGCAGGUGGAACUGAAAGUCUGCUGUUAAAGAGUUUGGCUUAACCAAAUAAAAGCGGUGGAAACUACAGAACUAGAGUGCGGUAGGGGCAAAAGGAAUUCCUGGUGUAGCGGUGAAAUGCGUAGAUAUCAGGAAGAACACCGGUGGCGAAAGCGUUUUGCUAGACCGUAACUGACACUGAGGGACGAAAGCUAGGGGAGCGAAUGGGAUUAGAUACCCCAGUAGUCCUAGCCGUAAACGAUGGAUACUAGGCGUGGCUUGUAUCGACCGGGGGG